CAAGCAACGGGAGCUCACUCCGUCGCGUGGAUUCGAUCUGCUUUGGAGAUGAUGGCGGACAAGGAAAACCAAAUGCCUGAAAUGAGACAAAAUGAUGCGGGGAGACCCAACCCCAGAAAGAGUUACAUGAGUACAGAGUCUGAGAGUGAGGAUAUGCACCCGUAGACUUACAAUGUCUUGAAGACCCUGACAGUGUCUGGCAUAAUAUGGAAGUCUUGUUUGAUACCGAGGAACCUUCUGUGGAGCCAGAGCCAACACACAAGCCAGUGGCCAUCCUCUGGA